rnacentral:rRNA from 1 species
GCAAGCGGGGAUGUCUAGCAUGCGAGUCAUUGUAGCAAUACAAGGCAGACGGCUCAGUAACGCGUAGUCAACCCAACCUAUGGACGGGAAUAAUCUCGGGAAACUGAGAAUAAUGCCCGAUAGAACACUAUAUCUGGAAUGGUUUGUGUUCCAAAUGAUUUAUCGCCAUAGGAUGGGACUGCGGCCUAUCAGUUUGUUGGUGAGGUAAUGGCCCACCAAGACUAUUACAGGUACGGGCUCUGAGAGGAGUAGCCCGGAGAUGGGUACUGAGACACGGACCCAGGCCCUAUGGGGCGCAGCAGGCGGGAAAACUUUGCAAUGUGCGAAAGCACGACAAGGUUAAUCCGAGUGGUUUCUGCUAAAGGAACCUUUUGUCGGUCCUAGAAACACCGAUGAAUAAGGGGUGGGCAAGUUCUGGUGUCAGCCGCCGCGGUAAAGCCAGCACCUCAAGUGGUCAGGAUGAUUAUUGGGCCUAAAGCAUCCGUAGCCGGCUAUGUAAGUUUUCGGUUAAAUCUGUGCGCUUAACGUACAGGCUGCCGGGAAUACUGCAUAGCUAGGAAGUGGGAGAGGUAGACGGUACUCGGUAGGAAGGGGUAAAACCCUUUGAUCUAUUGAUGACCACCUGUGGCGAAGGCGGUCUACCAGAACACGUUCGACGGUGAGGGAUGAAAGCUGGGGGAGCAAACCGGAUUAGAUACCCGGGUAGUCCCAGCCGUAAACUAUGCAAACUCAGUGAUGCAUUGGCUUGUGGCCAAUGCAGUGCUGCAGGAAGCCGUUAAGUUUGCCGCCUGGGAAGUACGUACGCAGUAUGAACUUAAAGGAUUGGCGGGGGAGCACCACAGGGUGAGCCUGCGUCAUUGGAGUCACGCCGGGAUCUCUAGAGGAUCCCGGGUACGAGCUCGAUCGUAUCAUG